UACGAAGGGGGCUAGCGUUGCUCGGAAUCACUGGGCGUAAAGCGCACGUAGGCGGCUUUUUAAGUCAGAGGUGAAAUCCUGGAGCUCAACUCCAGAACUGCCUUUGAUACUGAGAGGCUUGAGUCCGGGAGAGGUGAGUGGAACUGCGAGUGUAGAGGUGAAAUUCGUAGAUAUUCGCAAGAACACCAGUGGCGAAGGCGGCUCACUGGCCCGGUACUGACGCUGAGGCGCGAAAGCGUGGGUAGCAAACAGG
rnacentral:rRNA from 1 species